rnacentral:rRNA from 1 species
UGACCUCUGACCCUCACAUCAGGUAGGACUACCCCG